CAAUCAGCACACUAGCGGUGUGACCUAGACUCCCGAGCACCUCCGGUGAAGACAUCCCCAGAGUGUGGGGCUCAAGCAGCCCACAGAGAGGGAGGAAUUCUCCAGAUCAUGGGAACUCGGAUCCUGGGCUCCUGGCCCUUUACAAGCGUGGCUGGAAAAAGGGCUACACCAACCCACCAGGCUCCCUCUUCACCAUUCUGGUGAUUUCUUGCUGUGCCAAAGAAUGUAAGAAGGUGGAAGGAAACUGAAUUAGGAGUCAGAAGACCCAGGUUCAAGUUCUGACUUUGCCAUUUAUUUACUGGCAAUGGAUCAUCCAUGACAAUGGAUUGAGUUCCUGCUCUGAGGUCUGUCUUAGGUGCUGGAGACACAGUGGUGAACACAGCAGACAAAGUCCCUGGCCUCAUGGAACUCACAGUCCAGGGGGAGAGACAGGCUUCCCAUUGGCUGAAACCCACUAUGACCUCAAGGCAAGGGAGCCUGGGCGGUGGAGGACCCACAGGUCAGCCGUCCAGGGCACCAAGCGAGCUGAAGAUGGGAGGAUGGCAGAUCUAGAGGGCCAAGCAGAGAAUAGCCAAGUCUGGGGACAAAGUUGGGCAACAGCAUUGGGAAUGUAAAACCCAGAUUGAGAGACCCACCAAGAGGCUGACGAGUGACCGGAUGCAGCCCUUCUCUUUCCAGGCCUCAGUUUCCUCAUCUGUAAAGUGAGGAUUGGAACCCAACCCAGGAUUGGCUCCCCUCUUGUGCUUACAUCCCAGAACCCCAGCUGGUCCUGGGGCUCUGCUCUCUGCGCCCCACUGCGCCUCGCAGAGAAGCCGAUCAGCACGAGCUUUCAGAAUGGAAGGAUGACGCCCUGCGUGUGACAGUGUACAAGGUGUACCAAGUUAAAAGAGUCGCUGCAGAUGCAACUUCAUCUUCAAGCGUGGAGCAUUAUAGUAUGGUUGUACCUAUGUUAAAAUUAUAAAGGACAAGAAUAAACCUAAGCAUAAAAAAAGACUGGAAGGAAAGACAACCACAAAUUUUAGCAGCUCUGAUCUGUGGGUGUGUUUUGCUUUUUAUAGUUUUCUAUGUUUGCAAUUUUUCUAAGUUGAGUGUGUGUGUAGGGGGAAAUGUAAGGAAAAAUGUGAAACAAAACUCUGGACGUUAAGCAUGAAUUAGAGUUUAAGAAAAUUUGGCUCGGGCCAAGGAGUGUUAAAGGAUUUGUAACCAAAUGUGGUCCAAGUCCCAGGUCCUCUUGGCCCCCUUCCCUCCCACUCCUCCUCCCCACAUCCACCAAGCUCUGAGCGUGUGUCGCACCAGCGGGAGACACUGGAAAUGCAGUGAUGGAGGGCGGGCAGUAACUGCCCCGUGUUUUCCUGUCUCAUACAGACCGGCUGACCUCGCUUCACUUGGUAACAUUGUGUUGGUGGUGGUUUUCCCUAACCUGCAGCUUUCCUGCUGUGGCUCUGCCUUCCAGAAGCCUCCUGUCUGUGCGGGUUUCUGGCCCCUGGAGGAUUGGAGAGCCCAACGAUUCAGUGUGUAGGCUUUGGAGCCAGGCAAACCUGGGUUCAAAUCUUG
rnacentral:lncRNA from 1 species